rnacentral:rRNA from 1 species
UACGGAGGGAGCUAGCGUUGUUCGGAAUUACUGGGCGUAAAGCGCGCGUAGGCGGCUUUGUAAGUUAGAGGUGAAAGCCCGGGGCUCAACUCCGGAACUGCCUUUAAGACUGCAUCGCUUGAAUCCAGGAGAGGUGAGUGGAAUUCCGAGUGUAGAGGUGAAAUUCGUAGAUAUUCGGAAGAACACCAGUGGCGAAGGCGACUUACUGGACGAUUGUUGACGCUGAGGUGCGAAAGCGUGGGGAGCAAACAGG